CAGCCGCCGCGGUAGUACGAAGGGGGCUAGCGCUGUUCGGAAUUACUGGGCGUAAAGCGCACGUAGGCGGAUAUUUAGGUCAGGGGUGAAAUCCCGCAGCUCAACUGCGGAACUGCCUUUGAUACUGGGAGUCUUGAGUUCGAGAGAGGUGAGUGGAAUUGCGAGUGUAGAGGUGAAAUUCGUAGAUAUCCGCAGGAACACCAGUGGCGAAGGCGGCUCACUGGCUUGAUACUGACGCUGAGGUGCGAAAGCGCGGGGAGCAAACAGGAUUAGAUACCCGGGUAGUCCCUGUCUCUUAUAA
rnacentral:rRNA from 1 species